UUUUUUUUUUUUUUUUUUUUUGUAGUUCUGGGGUUAGAAUCUAGGAUGUCUUGCAUAGCAGGCAGGUGCUCUACUGGUGAUACACACACACACACACACACACACACCCCUUCCAGAUUUUCUUAAAACAGUUAAUAUUUAUUGGGAAGAUUCAACUGUGUGCCCGAAUCUGAUUUAUGAUGUUCCUCUAAGCGCCCCCCCCCCCCUUUUCUGGAUCUUGUUAUUUCAUUUGUUUUUUUUUUUUUCGAGACAGGGUCUUCUAUGUAGCCCUGGCUAUUCUGAACUUUACUAGGUAGACCAGGCUGGUCCUGAGCUCUGCCUCUACUUUCUGGGUGCCAGAAUUAAAGGUGUGGAUGAAGUUAGUGUUGACCAGAACCUGGCUUCCCUAGCUCUUUAAAGUCCAUAUCUGUGGAAAGAGAGCUGAAUAAUGAAUCUUAGAGCACUGAAAAUCCACAGCCUUGAAGUAGUAUGUCCAAAGUGACAGGGAGAGUUAUUUGCCUAGAGAAAUAGAAGGAGUUAGGGUAUCCUUAGAGGGAAGCUGAGAUAGGUCUCCAGAUACCUUGUUAAUUCUAUUCUCACAGUAUUUAAAAAUUGGGAAUACUUUGGUAUAUCUAUAUCUGUAUGCCAUUACUAAGUUAAUAAAGACCCAUAUGUACAUGUGUGUAUGUACAUGCACAUAUUUCACAUGUGCGCAUAGAUCCGCCUCUGUCUUUGCUACAUUCCUCUUCUUUUCCUGCUCUGUCACCUUCUUUCCUCUUCUUUUCCUGCUCUGUCACCUUCUUUCCUCUUCUUUUCCUGCUCUGUCACCUUCUUUCCUCCUCUUUUCCUGCUCUGUCACCUUCUUUCCAUCUCUUCACAAAUCUUAUCAGCUCAGACAGAUUUAAACAUCUAUGUAGAGGGAGGAUUUUUGCCUUGUUAUUGUUUAAUACAGUUCAAAGCUCCAUUUAAACCAUGACCUCCUCAUCUUGGUACUGUUGCUACAGAGAAUUUCCGGCUUGCCGGGCUUAGCCCAGCCUACUCGAUAAAGCACUAGUGAUUGGCAUUCUUGUACCAGUCAAUUCCCUCUUAGUCUUUAAUUAAGAGACGAGCUUUUUCUUUCUUUGCAUUGUUACAUUCUUUGACCCUAGAUCCAUAAAGAACACAGAUUUGGUUUUGCUCAGUGUUUUUAAGUUCCAAGAAAUCUAAGAGAUGACACAAGAAGACAGGCCGUAGGCAGCCUUGCUGUUGAGCAGGUUUUUCUCACAGAAACAGAUUCAGUUUUGCUGUAGUAAGAAAACCCUCAUAUCUUCAAGAAUUCAGACAAUUCAGAAAGAGGAGCUCUAGGGCCUGCAUGAUGUAAUUUCUAGGUCCCACUUCCCACAAUACCAGAUAUUGGCAAGUGACAUUUCAACAUGAAUUUUGGAGGGGACAAAAUUGUCAAGCUUUAUUUGGAAGAGUGCCCUGCGGUAUGAGCCAGCAUCAGGAUAUUAGUUGCGUUUCUCCAGGGUGAAUUUAAGACUUCAAGGCUCUUAUAAACUCUGGAGACCAGAAGUCUGGGGUCAUAAUACAGCAGGGCCAUUCGACCUCUGAGAUGCUGGAAGGAAGCCUUCCUUGAUUAUUUUAGCAUCUGGUGGAGGCUGCUAACUCUUGGUGCCCUUGGUUUGUAGUUACACGACUGAUCUCUGCCCGUGCUCUGAGGUCUCAUUCUGACAGAGUGGUUAGGUUCUGGUUAGUCCUUGGCCUGGCAGAUGCGUUAUGGUAAGGGCUAACAAACACAGCGAUGGCCUGAGGUAUUGCUAGGUACUUGGAGAUGGACAAAGUUUACCUAUGAAGUGGUGGACAGGGUUAUCACUUACACUCCAGCAAAGGGAUGUGGCUCUUGUUAGAGGUGGCAUCCAAUAGCAUGGAGUUCUCAGGGCUUCACUGAAGGCUGAGCAAUCCUGGGUAUCUUUAGGUCAAUCCUGGGGAAUAGUUCUCAUCCAGCUUGUGUGCUGGGCAUGACACACGUCCCUGGCUUAGAGUUUCCAGGAUGGAGCAGGAAGGGAGGAGGCAGGUGGGGUAAGCUCAGUGCUAAAGUCCAUAAGAUGGAAAAUGGUGGAAAGAAACACUCCUGGAGAGAGAACACACUGCUUCCAGGCUCUCUGGGUCUACCACUAGCAGGUGGAAAGGCACUUAACAGAUGGACGAGCAGGAAUCCCAUAGGCAUUUAAAUGCAGACUGCAUGCCAAAGGAAGCCAAGGACCUCUAACACUGGUGAUGGAGGCACGCUGUUCACAAAGCUCCACACCCUCUCUUACCUCUUUACACCAUGACCCUGCUUUGUUUCCUUCUUCCUUCACAGGGAGGAGUGGCAUGUCUGUACAGCUAGCUUACCUUUCUUGACUGCAGAUUCAAGUAUCCAAUUACCUUCCUAACACUGUCAUGUCAAUGUCCGGUGGACCUGGCUUUUCUAGCAUUGAAUCCCCAGUCUUUCACGUUAACUUUCUUCUGCUGUGACAAGAUCCUGAGAAGAUGGAUUGUCAUAGAGGACAGGUAUUUGUGGGUCAUGACUUAAACAGCUUAAGUCUGUUUGGCUGUUGUUUGGGGGCCUGCCAUGAGGCAGAAAGUAUAUCAUGACAGAUAGCCUGCCUUGUGGCAACCAGGAAGAAAACAGAGGAAGAGCUUGGCCUCUGCCUCACGAGUGCUGGAUUACAGAUCCACACUCAGCCCUUUGUGGGUAUUUGAGACCAAAGCCAUAGCAUCUUCUCCUAGCCUGUUCUACUCUACCUGGCCUUUCCCUCAGUUACUUAGACUGAGAAUCUUAGAGUUGCCAUAGCAUCUCUCGCUGCACACUUCUCUCCAUGGAGGUUCCUCUGGGCUCUUCUCUUACUGUGUUCAGUGUCUGCCCACUCCUCAGCUCCCCCUCAGUUGAGCCCUAACCUCUCUCACAUGAAUCACGGCACUGGCUUAGCACAUCUGUCUGCCUCUGCUUUCCUUGGCCAUCCAGGUGCAUAAAGCAGCCAUGCGGAUCACCGUUUGCCCCAUGUAGAGUCCUUUGUAGCAACCCCCAGUGUCAAUGUUAAAAGCCCCAGUCCUUUGGAUGUCUCUCCUGGCUGUACCCUAGUCUCCUCAUCCCAAAUUACUUCUGCUGCACUGCUCCUCAGCCUCUUGGCCCCAGACACACUCACAUACCCACCCAUCUCUCAUCUCCUCUGGGUUUUGCACUUUCUGUCAGUUGGAAUGCUCUUUGGGGACCCUCAUGGUUCUAAUGUUCUAACUAAUGUUUCCUUUAGGGAAGGGACAGAGAUCACAUCCACUCUGAAAGAGGAACCUCGAAGUUAAAUGCACAUUUUAAAGAAGAUGUGGAGUAAUUUCAGAUUU
rnacentral:lncRNA from 1 species